GCAGAAAGAGCUAGAUAGUCAAAGUUAGAAGUGAACGGCCUGGUCUGGUCUGAAAGAUGGCAAUCAGAUGACAUCCUUCUUGGAAUGAACAAGCCCAGCCCCGGAGCGGUCCUAUCUGUACCUUUAUGAGCCCGUGUCAGAGGCUUCUACUUUUUUUGGUGCAGGCACUUUCUCUAUGUAGUAAUCAAUGAAGAGAAGCAGCGUUAGGUAAAUACCUGUAUUGGGCUACCA